GAUGAACGCUGGCGGCGUGCUUAACACAUGCAAGUCGAACGGGAAACCUUUUAUUGAAGCUUCGGCAGAUUUAGAUUGUUUCUAGUGGCGGACGGGUGAGUAACGCGUGGGUAACCUGCCUUAUACAGGGGGAUAACAGUCAGAAAUGACUGCUAAUACCGCAUAAGCGCACAGAGCUGCAUGGCUCGGUGUGAAAAACUCCGGUGGUAUAAGAUGGACCCGCGUUGGAUUAGCUAGUUGGUGAGGUAACGGCCCACCAAGGCGACGAUCCAUAGCCGGCCUGAGAGGGUGAACGGCCACAUUGGGACUGGGACACGGCCCAGACUCCUACGGGAGGGAGCAGUGGGGAAUAUUGCACAAUGGGGGAAACCCUGAUGCAGCGACGCCGCGUGAAGGAAGAAGUAUCUCGGUAUGUAAACUUCUAUCAGCAGGGAAGAAAAUGACGGUAUCUGACUAAGAAGCCCCGGCUAACUACGUGCCAGCAGCCGCCGUAACAC
rnacentral:rRNA from 1 species